rnacentral:snRNA from 1 species
GCUCUCUGGCAGCAGACACUAAGAUUGGAACAAUAUAGAUUAGCAUGGCCCUGUGCAAAGAUGACACUCAAAUUCGUGAAAAGUGUUAUGUAUUU